UUUUUCAUUCAUUCAUACUUGUUACAGGAAAGAAAAAGAAAGAAAGCACCGAGAGAGAAAGAAAACCGUGAGAGAGAAUGAGAGAAACUAUGGCACCGUGAAAUUCAUGGUUUUAAUUUCUUGAGAUUCGUAACUCUAAUUAAAAAUCUAAUUCGGUAAAAGUGUUCAUAUCUUCCUCCUUUAUGUGUUGGCGUUAUUUUUGUCCGGUGGAAGUCGACAGUGACGUAGCUUUCCUACCCCUUGAGCUUGGCCAACUGGAGUUCUACGAGGCAUGGAGGUUCCGGACGUUUUUCCUUUCAGCAGCUCGGUCAAAAAGUUUCUCUAAAGUUUUCGUUGAUUUUGAUUUCGUAUGAAGGUAGGGGAUUUAUUUUUAAAGAUAAACGUUUUUAAUUUAGAAUGCCUACAAAAUUAAUUGAAUAAUUGCAAAUAUAUCUAUAUAUAUAUAUAUUAAUAAUAGUAAUGUUAUUGAGUAUGGAUUAUUGCUAUGAAUGUGACUAUUUUCUGAUUAUUAAGAAUUUCGCUGAUUUGAGAAUUGUUGAGAUUUGAGAAUUGUUGAGAAAAAGGCUUAGUUAAGAAAAGAUUUACUCUAUUUUAAGGUUUGAUUUAUUAAGAAAAAUAUAAUGUUUUAAACCCAAUCUUUUAAGGAGAGAUUUUGUUUUAAGUAAAGAUUUGAGCUCGGUUUAUUAAGAAAAAGAAUCUCUGCCACAGGAGAGCAGAGAACAAGGAUUUAAAGAAUAUAUUAAUUAAUGAAGUGUCUACCACAGGAGAGCAAAUGUGACAUUGUUUGGGCCUUAGUGCCAAAUGUAAAGUGGGGACGCCCACACAUACACUGAGAACUGUUUUCCAGAUGUACGCUUAUUGAUUUGGAAAGUCACACUGAUGCGGCCUAGCCGUACGACUUAUAAGCACACUGAUGCAUCUGGAAAGCCAUACCUGGGACUUGUGCCUGGGUAACCGACACAUGAGCUCAUGGCCUGCGUUAGGGAUAGACAUGCAUCAUGUUGUUUGCACAUUUGUAUUUGAUUGCGCUUGCUUGUCUUAUUACUUUGUGAUUGUAUUGUUUGUCUUGUUGUGACUUGCUUGUACUUUGAAUUGAAUCUCUUGCUUGCACUACUUGUUUGUGAGAGUAUUUAAGUGAUUACGAGUUGACAUUUGACUGAGGAUUAAUAUGUGGUUGAGAGACAGAAAGUGUGACUAAUUUUAUAUUUAAGUUUUGUUUUGAGUUAAGAGAUUUUAAAAGGAGGUAAUUAAUUAUCUAAAGUAGAACCAAGAGUAUUUUCAAAGGGUUUGAUAAAAAUAUAUUUUUAUUGAGUAAAGUUAAUUAUUUGCAUUUUAUUCCAUUACUUUUACGGCAUUCCCAUUCCCUAUUGAGAACGUGUGGUUUGUUCUCACUCCAAAUCUUCCACCCUUUCAGUGACAGGUUUGAAGAUUCAAUAAGAAGCUGCAGACGAUUAGUAGAUUUACUUGUGAUUCCUGUUGUUUUUAUAGAGUUCCCUCGUUCUUGUUGCUUUAGCUUUUAUUUUAUCCAGAGGGAUAUGUAUUGUAUUUGAGUUUUACAUUGAAUCUAAUUGUAUAGCAUCU
rnacentral:lncRNA from 1 species